CAGGAAGCUGGUCGCUUGUUAGCCUGCAGAAUAUGCUGUUUGUCGCCUUAGAUGCUCUUUAAAACAUUUCUGCCUUGGAGAGUUAUUGCUUUUUUACGGGAAGAAAAGGAUGUCAAUCAUUGAACUACUCAGCAGUCUGCUAUCAGGCCUACAUGACAAUUGUUUUCAAUAUCUUUUUUUAAUAUACCAAAUAAAACACUCAGGGUUCAUAAGAAAUCCAAAUACAUUCAUAAAUAAAUGCAUUAUUCAGCAGAGAUAACACAUGAAGCAUUUUUCAAAUGUGGUUAUAAAAUGGACUUAUAUCCUCCAAGUUCAGUAUGUUGCCCAUGCUUAACAUUAAUUGUGUUAAACAAUUAUUUUUAUAUGAAAUUAAAAAAAUACAUUUUAAACAGCACUAUGAAAAACAUCUGAACUUUUGGUGUUGACUGUCAUGUCUAGUUAAUUUAUAUCCUAUGGAACAUUUAAAAAACAGAAGUUGGCCCAAAGUGCUUAAUAAACAGGCACAUUAACAUUCCAGGUCCCAAAGAACCCUAUUUUUAAAAUAUGUGAAAUGCCAAAAGUAUGGUUUACAUUUUAGGACAUCCUAAGGUCUCAGAAAAACAUCGUCAAACAUCAGGUCAAACAACCUCAGACUUCAGACCACAGACAAAAAUGCAUCAUGUUUAUCUGAAAAAAACAAAACAAAACAAAACCCAUCAGACCUCUGAAUAAAGGCAUCAGACUAAAAGGUCUCAGAUCUCAGGACAAAAGCCAUCAGAGAGAAAGAAGCUUCCUGCAGGUGGCACUGUUGUCAGGCCACCAGAUUUCCAAAACAGUUUGGAAAUUUCAAGAUCAGACUACCUCAAGAUGUGCCAAUGAAUU